GGACUACUGGGGUAUCUAAUCCUGUUUGCUCCCCACGCUUUCGUGCAUGAGCGUCAGUGUUGGCCCAGGGGGCUGCCUUCGCCAUCGGUGUUCCUCCGCAUAUCUACGCAUUUCACUGCUACACGCGGAAUUCCACCCCCCUCUGCCAGACUCUAGCUUGCCAGUCACAAAUGCAGUUCCCAGGUUGAGCCCGGGGAUUUCACAUCUGUCUUAACAAACCGCCUGCGCACGCUUUACGCCCAGUAAUUCCGAUUAACGCUUGCACCCUACGUAUUACCGCGGCUGCUGGCAC
rnacentral:rRNA from 1 species